AUUUCCACGGUAUGUGCAUGCAGUCACAUUAGCGUUAAAGCGGAAGGAAGUUUUGUUGAAUAAUUGUUCAAUUUGUAGUUAAGAUAUAUUGUAAUCUAGUAGCUCUAACUUGUUGCGUAAAUCAGCCAUUAUGCCCCGGUAUCGUGAAUGGGACUUAGCCUGCAAAGUGUAUGUUGGUAAUUUGGGAUCCUCGGCAUCAAAAUACGAGAUUGAAAACGCCUUUAGCAAAUAUGGGCCUUUGAAAAAUGUGUGGGUGGCUCGUAACCCGCCAGGUUUUGCAUUUGUUGAGUUCGAGGACAGGCGAGAUGCUGAGGACGCAACCCGUGCACUUGACGGCACACGCUGCUGUGGCACACGCAUUCGCGUGGAAAUGUCUUCGGGUCGAUCGCGUGAGCGCAGCCGUCGUGGUGGAGGACAAUCGGGUGAGGCUGGCAGCAACCGUGGAGGGGCCGGACGACACAGAACUUCUACUACUACUCUACUGCUACCUCUUCCUUCUACUACUACUACAACAACAACAACAACAGCAACAUCUUCACGAUUCACAGCUACAGCUCCUCCUUCGUCGCAAUCUGCACAGCCAAAACCAUCAGCAGGGUUAACAGCAAGUUUUUCAACUAUAAAACAACUAAUUACAAUGCUCUGCACCCCGGCACUCCAGACGUUACGUUUAGAAUCCAACAACGCAAUCCCCAUCAUUAUCACCACAGCACACAACGCAAGAAUCACUAAACACACCACCAAUCCACAGCCAGCGAUAAAGCAAUAUGUAUAUAAAUUCACCAUGAAACAUUUAUUUCCAAGCAUACAAAUAUGAGGCUAUCCAUAUUUAUUUUGAUAUCCGACAAAAAGGUUUUAUCCAUUUCAUGCUUCGUCAUGAAAAUGCGAACUUAAGUGCCGUCCAUUACUCCAUUCGCAUUUGAACUCUCAAAAGAGAACAAGGUAUAUACACGUAUUCCGACGAGGAAAUUCUCAUGCAUACACAUUAGUAAACGGUAUUGUAAUGAUUUUGCUUGUGUGUAUUCGCCCAAUACGACUAUUCGCAGGUUGUCAGCUUGAUUAUUAUUUCGAUUUUGCUUUAAUAAUAUAGUUUAAUUUGGAUUAUUCUGCUGAACUGUACCAUUUUAACAUCAUCAACUCGACCAUCAUACGCAACGUCAGCGAAUUGGAGCAGCAUCAUCUCUGAGCAUCAAUCCAGCUGUACCACCUGCCCGUCCUCCUUUCCACAACCUAGUGCGUUCCCAACAAACCAACUUCACUUCUCUACUCUGCUCAGCUCAGCUCAGUAAAUUGACUCGUUACAACAACAACCAACCAACCACCUACUCCAGCAAUCAACAAACCACAACGCACAUAUCGAGUGCCUACAGAACUUCCACACGUCUAAACGUACACUGUAUGAUCACGCUCACCACGCCGUUCCCGUACGCCACGCAGUCGUAGUUUUUCCCGUGAUCGACGCAGCCGUU